GGGGACAAUCGUGAUGCUCUCCACCAAAAUGUGGUGUUCGGGAGGUAUGGCUGUGCCUGAGGACACUUACACAGAGGAGAUGGCCACCCAUGCAGCUCAGAGGUUGGCCCCACAGAGGAGAGCAUAGAGGAGGGGUCAGAGGUACCCAGUGGUGGGCGCCAUCAGGUGAUACAGAAAAGCUUCACAAGGUUUUUUAGCAAGGUGGCAAAAACUGGAAAUCUGGCUUCAGCCCCAUGAUCCAGGGUGUCCGUGAUGUGUGCGGCUCUCUGAUGGACCCCGGAGAAGGCCCUGUCAAGGUGAUGCGUUCCACCCUUGACUUUGACCCAGCCCUCUGCUCCAUCUCCUUCCCUGAUGUCUUCUGCUGGCAAUGGAGCCAAGCACCAGGUCUCCUAGUACCCAGAUGUGUCCACUCCUCCAGACCUAAAACCCCCAGGCUUGGGAAGGGCAGGGAUCCUGGGCCUCUUGAAGUGGGUCGCCCUGGCAGGGCUGGAUGCGAAGCCUGGCACUUUCAGAGCCCUGUCAGCUGCCUCCCAUGUUCUGUGUGGUGAAGUUCCCCAGCAGUGUCAAUGUGCUAUUCAGGCUGACAGAAAUCCCACCGAUAAUUGGGAAGAGUGGAAAAUGAAAACAUUAAAAUUUGCCGUGUCAUCCGCU